GUCUUAUCAAUAAAUUUAAUAAAUAUUAAUUUUUUUUCUAUCCAUUUAGGGUGUUUGACGAAUAAUACGAAUUUAAAAACUAAAAAUAAAAUGAAAAUUAAAUAGAUAACUAAAAUAAUUUUUUUAUAAAAUUGAAAGUUUAAAUAAAACAUUAUAUUUUUAAUUUACGAUACACGAACCAACAUCUCCACCGUACCCCACCAAAAAAAAAAAAAAAAAA
rnacentral:lncRNA from 1 species